rnacentral:rRNA from 1 species
UACGUAGGGGGCUAGCGUUGUCCGGAUUUAUUGGGCGUAAAGGGCGUGUAGGCGGUCAAGUAAGUGGAAUGUGAAAGCCCCCGGCUUACCCGGGGAUCUGCAUCCCAAACUGCUUGGCUUGAGUACGGGAGAGGAUAGGGGAAUUCCUGGUGUAGCGGUGAAAUGCGUAGAUAUCAGGAGGAACACCGGUGGCGAAGGCGCCUAUCUGGCCCGAUACUGACGCUGAGGCGCGAAAGCUAGGGGAGCAAACGGG